UACGUAGGGGGCAAGCGUUGUCCGGAAUUAUUGGGCGUAAAGAGCUCGUAGGCGGCCUGUUGCGUCCGCUGUGAAAGCCCGGGGCUUAACCCCGGGUCUGCAGUGGAUACGGGCAGGCUAGAGGUAGGUAGGGGAGAAUGGAAUUCCCGGUGUAGCGGUGAAAUGCGCAGAUAUCAGGAGGAACACCGAUGGCGAAGGCAGGUCUCUGGGCCACUACUGACGCUGAGAAGCGAAAGCAUGGGGAGCGAACAGG
rnacentral:rRNA from 1 species